CCUACGGGUGGCAGCAGUGGGGAAUAUUGCACAAUGGGGGAAACCCUGAUGUAGCGACGCCGCGUGAGUGAAGAAGUAUUUCGGUAUGUAAAGCUCUAUCAGCAGGGAAGAAAAUGACGGUACCUGAUUAAGAAUCCCCGGCUAACUACGUGCCAGCCGCCGCGGUAAUACGUCGGGGGCAAGCGUUAUCCGGAUUUAAUGGGUGUAAAGGGAGCGUAGACGGCAGCACAAGUCUGGAGGGAAAUGCCGGGGCCUAACCCGGGAACUGCUUUGGAAACUGGGCAGCUAGAGUGCAGGAGAGGUAAGUGGAAUUCGUGGUGUAGCGGUGAAAUGCGUAGAUAUUAGGAGGAACACCAGUGGCGAAGGCGGCUUACUGGACUGUAACUGACGUUGAGGCUCGAAAGCGUGGGGAGCAAACAGGAUUAGAUACCCGUGUAGUC
rnacentral:rRNA from 1 species